GAUGAACGCUGGCGGCGCGCCUAAUACAUGCAAGUCGAGCGAACAGACGAGGAGCUUGCUCCUCUGACGUUAGCGGCGGACGGGUGAGUAACACGUGGAUAACCUACCUAUAAGACUGGGAUAACUUCGGGAAACCGGAGCUAAUACCGGAUAAUAUAUUGAACCGCAUGGUUCAAUAGUGAAAGACGGUUUUGCUGUCACUUAUAGAUGGAUCCGCGCCGCAUUAGCUGGUUGGUAAGGUAACGGCUUACCAAGGCAACGAUGCGUAGCCGACCUGAGAGGGUGAUCGGCCACACUGGAACUGAGACACGGUCCAGACUCCUACGGGAGGCAGCAGUAGGGAAUCUUCCGCAAUGGGCGAAAGCCUGACGGAGCAACGCCGCGUGAGUGAUGAAGGUCUUCGGAUCGUAAAACUCUGUUAUUAGGGAAGAACAAAUGUGUAAGUAACUAUGCACGUCUUGACGGUACCUAAUCAGAAAGCCACGGCUAACUACGUG
rnacentral:rRNA from 1 species